rnacentral:rRNA from 1 species
UACGUAGGGUGCGAGCGUUAAUCGGAAUUACUGGGCGUAAAGUGUGCGCAGGCGGCAGAGCAAGUCGAGUGUGAAAGCCCCGGGCUUAACUUGGGAAUUGCGCUCGAAACUACUUUGCUGGAGUGUGGCAGAGGAAGGUGGAAUUCCACGUGUAGCGGUGAAAUGCGUAGAGAUGACAUAGAACACCAAUUGCGUAGGCAGCUUACUACACGAUCAUUGACGCUGAGGCACGAAAGCGUGGGGAGCAAACAGG